UGGGGAAUAUUGGGCAAUGGGCGCAAGCCUGACCCAGCAACGCCGCGUGAAGGAAGAAGGCUUUCGGGUUGUAAACUUCUUUUGUCAGGGACGAACAAAUGACGGUACCUGACGAAUAAGCCACGGCUAACUACGUGCCAGCAGCCGCGGUAAUACGUAGGUGGCAAGCGUUAUCCGGAUUUAUUGGGUGUAAAGGGCGUGUAGGCGGGACUGCAAGUCAGAUGUGAAAACCACGGGCUCAACCUGUGGCCUGCAUUUGAAACUGUAGUUCUUGAGUGUCGGAGAGGCAAUCGGAAUUCCGUGUGUAGCGGUGAAAUGCGUAGAUAUACGGAGGAACACCAGUGGCGAAGGCGGAUUGCUGGACGAUAACUGACGCUGAGGCGCGAAAGCGUGGGGAGCAAACA
rnacentral:rRNA from 1 species